AUAAUGGCCCUUUCUUACGUCUUUAUCCACACUGAUAUCUUGCUGAAGCUUUUACAGGCCCCGUUUCCACUUAAAUGCCUGAAGGUAGGAAACCUUCCUGCUAAGACAUUGCAAAGACAGUGGCAUUACAAGGACGCUGCUGUAUUGGGACUGUAAAAGCUUUGGAUCAGAUGCUGUACGUGAGGGACAUUUGUCAGAUGAGCCAAGGAGGAGGACAGAAGAGAACAGCAGGCCAGUGGAGCACUUGGAACAGCGGAAUCCAGAGGAAACUGGUAGAGGGAAGAGGAUGAUUUAGGUGACCCAAACACAGGCCCAAAACAAGUUAAGCUACGCCAGUAUCCCCUUGACCAUUUUGGAGUGCAAAACUAAAGAGACACACCAGACAAGACACAGAUACCGCAACAAAAGAUUAUAUGAUGGAGAUAGACACCAGAUAAGACACAGAGAAAGCAACAGAAGUAUAGGGUAUGAUGGAAAGAGAUGAGAAGGAUAUGAUGUAGAGAGACAUAGCAGACAAUACAAAGAGACAGCAACAGAAGUAUAGGGUAUGAUGGAAAGAGACACCAGAAGAACAGAACAGGCUAUAACAGAAGAAAAUAGACAAAGGAGAAAGUAACAAUCAAGAACCUGAGACAGCAACAAACAAGAUACAGACAGCAAUAUACAAGACAUAGGGAAAGUGACAGAAGAGGGUAGAUGGAGAGAGAACAGAGGUGGGUUGAGCACAAAGUAGACUGCAUCACUUCAUGCUGCUCUAUAGAUUCUAAUUCAUUUUAUUUAAUUGCACAGUGAUAAAGUAAAACAUGGUUUACAAAGAAUUUGCAGGUGAGGUGAAAAAGCCUGUGAAAUGACUAUGAAAACAAUUGUUUAGUUUGCACUUUUUUACAACCGGGACAGGACGAGAGAGGAGGGUGGACAAGAGACAGCAACAUAUACGUCUAAGAGACAGCAACAGAAGAGGGCAGAAAAGACAGACAGCAACAGAUGACAAAGAGAAAGCGAUGGAGAGAGGCAGAGGAGGGGUGAGCACACAGUUGACUGUAUCACUUAAAGCUGCUCUAUCGAUUCGAAUUACUGCACAGUGUGAAUGUGCAUGUGUGUGAAAGAGAGAGGGUGUUUGGGUACUGUGGAAUUCUUUAAUCAGUAUGGUUCAUUGGACAGGUCAGAGUCCAUGUUUGACAUUGUUGAGUGGUAUGGAGGUUUUUGGCAACACACUGUAGAUGUAUGUGUUCCAGAGUAGGGAGUAGAGAAUGUUCCAGAGUAGAGAGACCCACAGUAGAGACUGUAAUUGAGUACUGGUAGUGUUUGCCGAAGCAGAUGGGAAGGUGCAAGUUACCUGAAAAAUAUGUUAUCAAAUUCAUGCAUUUAGCUCUUGAAAUUCCUUCUUUUUAUAUGCCCGGGGGAAGAUGCCCCCAGAACCCUCUACUGGCUUUGGGCUAAACAGCAUAUCGAUUGCGCAACCAGGGGUGGAAAGACCUUGGAUCAUUGUUACUCUAACUUCCGCGACGCAUAUAAGGCCCUGCCCCGCCCCCCUUUCGGAAAAGCUGACCACGACUCCAUUUUGUUGAUCCCUGCCUACAGACAGAAACUAAAACAAGAAGCUCCCACGCUGAGGUCUGUCCAACGCUGGUCUGCCCAAGCUGACUCCACCCUCCAAGACUGCUUCCAUCACGUGGACUG
ensembl:lncRNA